AUGCCACCCGUCGUGGAUGUGCUCCGCUCUAACGCCAUGGCUUGCGAUUCAGCGGCAAAUAACGGAGCCUGCAGAAGGAGCCGCCGGGUCGAGGACCUCCAGUUCGUCAGUCCAACAAAAGGCUAUAGAAAGUUGAUACUAGUUUGCAUUAAGGAUGCAGCAAAAAGCAAGAUUCACAAGUUCAUCUUCUGGAUGCUUUUCAGUACAUCUACUUCCCGUUGCGCCCUGGCCGAUCACAGCCGCCACCGCAGGCCGUUCAACGCCACCUCCAUCAGUAAAUGUUCCACUGAAAAUCAGAAUUUCUACAGAAACUGCUGCAGAUACAUGACUUAUGAGGCUACCAGAGGCUACUACACCUCCAGAUUAUUGACAGCCUGCAACUUACUUGCUUCCAACACACUAGUAACACAUUCUAAGGUCCCAAAUCGGCUACUUCAGAGCGCUGUUGCUAUUCUGUGGGUAAAGGUCCUCAUUUUGUUGAUGGCGGCAUCUUACAAAGAAAAGGAAGUUCGAGAUGGGAACACUUGUUUCAAAUGCUCACCUCCGAUUCGCGAUGCUGCCAACAAGGAAAACCUCUGGGAAGCUCUGCUGGUAGUGCAAUCUCCUAUCCAUCCCAGCUCCAACUUACUGCUGCUAACCAACUGUAUGCAUGUAAUAAAAAAGUAG
rnacentral:rRNA from 1 species